UUUGAUGAAGUUUUCGGAUGGAUUUAAAGCAGCUUAGUGGCGGACGGGUGAGUAACGCGUGGGUAACCUGCCUCACACUGGGGGAUAACAGUUAGAAAUAGCUGCUAAUACCGCAUAAGCGCACGGUUCCGCAUGGAACAGUGUGAAAAACUCCGGUGGUGUGAGAUGGACCCGCGUCUGAUUAGCUGGUUGGUGGGGUAACGGCCUACCAAGGCGACGAUCAGUAGCCGGCCUGAGAGGGUGAACGGCCACAUUGGUACUGAGACACGGACCAAACUCC
rnacentral:rRNA from 1 species